CCCUUAGAUGUCCUGGGCCGCACGCGCGCUACACUGAUGCAUUCAACAAGUUCUACCUUGGCCGAGAGGCCUGGGCAAUCUUUUAAACGUGCAUCGUGAUAGGGAUAGAUUAUUGAAAUUUUUAAUCUUGAACGAGGAAUUCCUAGUAAACGCAGAUCAUCAAUCUGCAUUGAUUACGUCCCUGCCCUUUGUACACACCGCCCGUCGCUCCUACCGAUUGAAUGUUCCGGUGAACACUUUGGAAUAGUGCCUUUGUAUGGGGAAACUUGUACUUGGAUACUGUAAAGUUGUGUAAACCUUAACAUUUAGAGGAAGGAGAAGUCGUAACA
rnacentral:rRNA from 1 species